UCUCGUUUAUUACCAAAACGCCGCCUGCAUCCAUUUUGUUAAAAAAGUCGGCCCAGAUUGCCAAGGGGUCAGGGGAUCCCAAUCGAGAGAAAGUCGGCCGUGUCACGAUAGAUCAAAUCCGUGAGAUAGCCCAGCUCAAAAUGCCAGAUCUCAAUGCUUAUGAUGUCGAGGGGGCGAUAAAAAUCAUCGAAGGGACUGCAAGAAGCAUGGGGAUUGAAAUCAUCCAGAACUGAGUUCGCGAGGU
rnacentral:rRNA from 1 species